CUUUAGAAUGUUUUGUUAGCCAAUCCCUGUUUGCUCUAAACCUCUGAAGUGUCAAGAUAAUAACUGCCAGGGGACUGGGAGGAGAAUGGCGUCGGCUGGGGCCUGAUAAACAGUCUGCUUGUGGGGGACACCAGGUGACCAACAGAGCAAACCCCAAACCUUCCGAUCCAUGCCCAAGCAUCUGGGAGUCCAGAGGAUUUUUGCAGAAAACAUGAAGCAUCAAUAUUUUACAGUGACGCUGUGCGGUGGCUUGGAAGUCUGACUUCAGGAGAAGAGCUGACCAUCUGCCAAGGCCUGCGCACUCACAGAUGACUAAUGUUUUCCCUGGAGGACUGUGGUUCCCUGUGUUUCUGUUGCUGUCUUUUCGAUGUCACAAAGCAAGGUUGAUAAACACAUUCAAGUCACAAUUAAAAAACAUUUUCACUGACCAGUUGCCACUGAUGAUAUUAUCAGACAGCUUCAGUGGUUGUUGUAACAACGUGUUUAAUGGUGUUGAUGUACAGGAAAGAUGAAGCUGCCCUUUGUCUGGUCCUUCCCUGGCUCUGUGAUUCUUUAAUGACAUUUCCAGGUACCAGGAGUCUUGUAAGGAAAUGCUAUUCGGCAUUAAUUGGGCAGAACUCUGGGAUUUUCAGGCUAAGCCCACAGGCUGGAAGAUCUAUCUAAAUUGGAACUCACUGAACAAGACCCUCUGGAGGAAGUUCGGUCUACUGUGCAGGGGUCAGCAGAGAUCGAAAGUCGCAGAGUGUAAGCAGAAGGCUGGAUUUCAGUCGGGGAUCCUGGGCCUGUCUAAGUGACUGAGUGACUUGAGCUGAAAGGUGCACCCGCUAAGUGAACCAGAAAUACCAAGGCCAGGUCUAAAUAGACUACCAGAACUCGCUUGGACCAGGAUCUGGAAAAGAAGCAGCAGAAGAGGCACCUAUAUGAGAUCAAUACAAGUUUUAUCGAAAUUCCUGGAAACAAAUCAAGGCCACAGUAUGAAGGUGUUCUCUGGGCUUGUUCUCAGGCCAUUUCCACCAAGUCUCAUCUCUGACCUGCACAAAAUCCUUCCUCUGCAUGACCACCAGCUGGAGGUAGAUCUGGAAAACUCUUCUCUACACAGCUGCAGGUGUCCCUGGAAGUUUUGGAAGGAGCAAAGAAUAAAGUGCGGUGGAGUAGUUACCCCCCGACCAAAUACUCCAGUACAACCUCUUGAAGGAAACUCCUCUGUGGACUUCUACUAAGGACUGAAAUGAAUGUGUCCAGAUUGAUGCUUGCAGUUAUGUCUAGCUCAGCUGGUCUUCUAGAACCUCUGCCUACAACAUGAGCUGGAAUGCGCCAGUGCCAC